UCUCAUCAAAGAUCUCCCGCACCUUCUUUUCUGAUUCAGCCCAGUUCUCAUUUUCAGACUCAGGAAUCCCAUCAAUCACAAUGUUAUUUCGUCGUGACUGACUGUCCAAGUAGUCAAUUUUAGGCAGGAAUGAAGUAAUUUUUGUGGUUGACUUCCUCUCCUUAGCAAGGAGUACAUCCACGUCUUUUUGCGUGUAGUGCAGGCUUUCCCGCAAUUCACUUAUUUCCUUCAUCAUUGUAUCCAAUCUCUUGUUAUUUGCCUCAGUCACGAUUGUCAAAAAGUUCUUAAAGUUACUCUCUUGCUGCUCCAUCAGCUCUCUAUAAAAUAGUUUCUGCUGCUCCAGCAAUUCAUGCACCUGGUCUACGGUCACAAAGUCCUCAUCUCCCCCUUUCUUCCCGUUCCUUCGCGACAUGGUACCUGUUGAUAGCCUGUAGCCUAUCCGGCCCGAUGGUAGCUGCUAGCCGGGCUGAGGAGCCUGGAUCCGGCCUGCUGGUGGCUGCUGGCUAGUAGCCAGGAGCUAAAGCUUGUAGUAGCAGGUAGCUGGAGGUAGCGGUGAGUCGGAGACGCCUAUCCCGGUUGUGUACGCGAUCAGAUGAAUCAAUCUUGCUUUGUGAAACCUGGUUAAAACCAGAUGAGUUUCUAGCCCUAAACGAAGCUACUCCACCCCAUUACGUUAGCACCCAAGUAUCUAGAGAAGUUAAGAAAGGUGGUGGAGUAGCCCUGAUAUCUAAUUCUAAGCUUAAUUUAAAGCCAAAGAAUAGA